UACGUAGGGUGCAAGCGUUGUCCGGAAUUAUUGGGCGUAAAGAGCUCGUAGGCGGUUUGUCGCGUCUGCUGUGAAAACUCGGGGCUUAACUCCGGGCCUGCAGUGGGUACGGGCAGACUAGAGUGCGGUAGGGGAGACUGGAAUUCCUGGUGUAGCGGUGAAAUGCGCAGAUAUCAGGAGGAACACCGGUGGCGAAGGCGGGUCUCUGGGCCGUAACUGACGCUGAGGCGCGAAAGCUAGGGGAGCAAACAGG
rnacentral:rRNA from 1 species